UUUGCUCUCGUCUAGUUUGGCAACUCUCAGGCAAACGAUUCAGCGAGUCCUAGCGAAUCGAGUCUGUACAGUGUCUUUAUGCUAAUAAGGCUAAGUAGGCUGUUACUACACACUUGCUGAGCUGGUGCGAACAUGGAGCACGCAAGACUCCUUCUCCUUCUGAUCAUGGGAAACUUCCUCGCAAGUACCGAUCUUUUAGACUGCUCUGUGGAGAAUAACACCACCUGUGACUGCGUUCACAAUGCCACAUUGGACACUGCUGAAUAUUAUGAGAAGUACAGAGACUGCGAUUGGAGUUUGAGGAACAAGGAGGAUAUAGUUCUUCAACUACUAACUCCAGUCCCACAUGUAACUGUCCCAUGCAGCUGGCAUGAAGUUUACUUGAAGUUGAACUGCGACAGCCCAAAGCAUGAAGUGAUUCUGCAUUGGUACAAGUUUGAAAGCAAAACUGAACACAUCAGUUCUGGAGAAAGUGAGUAGAACAUAAAAAUAAGCCCUUCCAUUUUGUAUUUAGGAAUUUCAUGGUAUUUAUUUUCUGAGUAAUUCUGGAUAGCAGCUGAAAGUUUAUAGCCUUUCUACGUUAAUUUGGAACCCAGUUUCUGUGACAGAAGAUUGACAGAUGAUUUUGUCACUUAUUAUUCUGAAUGCCUCAUUGUAUUAUUAUUUUGCAUUGGUUUUAGCUCCCCUUCAAAGUCAUGUGAGCAUUCUGUGUCUGUGUCUGUGGUGCUUGAGGUACUUACUAUAAAGCACUGACAAAACAUGCAUGACCACCGACGAUGAUAGAAGUGUACAUUAUGCCAUCCACAAAAAAGUUACAUAGUUUAUUUGAUCUGCAAGAAUGAUUUUUAGAGUACUUUCUAGGAGUUUUAAUUCACUAUAUGGCCAAAAGUUUGUGGAAACCUGACCAUCCCAUCCAUACAGCCCUGAAUUAUAUUAGGGGGUGGGGCUUAAGCCCUAUGGGGCCUUCAUGUGUUAACAUGAAGUUCGUCUUCGUUAUGGUACUGUGUGUGUGUGUGUGUGUGUGUGU
ensembl:lncRNA